GUUGGAACCACCUGAUCCCAUCCCGAACUCAGAAGUGAAACGAUGCAUCGCCGAUGGUAGUGUGGGGUUUCCCCAUGUGAGAGUAGGUCAUCGUCAAGA
rnacentral:rRNA from 1 species